GCGUUAUUAUUAUUAUUAUUGUAAUUGUUGUUGUAAUUAUAGUAAGCAGGCCGCCUUGUCGGGUAGACUUGUGGCGUGUAUGGAUAGAGACCCGAUGGAGUAGAAGGACAACAGAAAGUGUCGAAUGAAAAUUGAUUAUUUGAGAAUAUUGAAAGAGAGCGAAGCAAAA